UACAAGUUUAUGACUAUUUCUCAUUUUCUCCAUCGAUUUACCUAAUUCCCAAAUCCUCACUUCCUCUGCCGACUCCUGCCGAUUCCCAACUCCCAAACUCCAAAUUCCCAUUUCCGCCGGCUCCAUCUCCACCAGCUCCACCCAGCUUUUGCAGGGGCUUGAAGCAGAUACAUUGACUGGGGAACCCAUCUUGAGGCUGAUAUUGAUGGAAAUGGAGUUCUGGACUAUGGAGAGUUUGUAGCAGUGACGAUACACUUGCAGAGGAUGGAGAAUGAUGAGCACUUUCGUAGAGCGUUCAUGUUUUUUUGACAAAGACGGAUUUUUAGCUAAUUUGGAUAUGGCAAGUUUUGGUUGUUGUUUGGCCCCUUUUUAUGGCUUAUUUUUAGCUGUGUUUAAAGCUAUAUUUUUGCUGAUUUUUUGUGCUCAAUUUCUCAAUUAGCAGGCUGAUUUUUUGAC